rnacentral:rRNA from 1 species
ACUUCCUCACUGUCGCUAGCCUGAUCUCUGUGAUAUUGAGUCAUCCUUGAAUACGUGGAACCAUACUACCCGACGGUAAGACCCUGUGCACCUUUAUUUCU